UACGGAGGAUCCAAGCGUUAUCCGGAUUUAUUGGGUUUAAAGGGUGCGUAGGCGGCCUAUUAAGUCAGGGGUGAAAGACGGUAGCUUAACUAUCGCAGUGCCCUUGAUACUGAUGGGCUUGAAUAUACUAGAGGUAGGCGGAAUGUGACAAGUAGCGGUGAAAUGCAUAGAUAUGUCACAGAACACCGAUUGCGAAGGCAGCUUACUAUGGUAUUAUUGACGCUGAGGCACGAAAGCGUGGGGAUCAAACAGG
rnacentral:rRNA from 1 species